UACGUAGGGACCAAGCGUUGUUCGGAUUUACUGGGCUUACAGAGUUCGUAGGCGGUUCUACAAGUGAGGUGCGAAAGCCCUCGGCUCAACCGAGGAACUGCGCUUCAAACUGUAGAACUAGAGGGAGAUAGAGGUGAGCAGAACUGAUGGUGGAGCGGUGAAAUGCGUUGAUAUCAUCAGGAAUACCGGAGGCGAAGGCGGCUCACUGGGU
rnacentral:rRNA from 1 species